UCAGAGUCACAUCUCCAGCCUCAGGAUGAAGAACACACUCACUCUGCUGCUGGCUGCUCUCUCUCUGACCUGUUGUUCAGGUCAGAGCAUGGAGUCCAUUCCUUCCACUGCAGUAGUGAAGAAGCCUGGAGAGACCCUCAGUCUGUCCUGCAGAGGAUCUGGGUUCACAUUUAACUGCUGUUUUAUGCACUGGAUCAGACAACCUGCAGGAAAAGGACUGGAAUGGAUGGGGAGAGGUGGCUCUGAUACUAAUGAUAACGUCUAUGCCAACAAUUUGAGAGGACGGAUAGAAAUCAGCAGAGAUGACAGCAACAGCUUGGUGCAUCUGAAACUGUCCAACCUGCAGCCUGAAGACUCUGCUGUUUAUUACUGUGCUAAAGACUCACAGUGACACAAAGCAUCAGUGGAGCUGAAC